AACGCGAAGAACCUUACCUGGGCUCGAACGGCUUAAGAACAUCUUUGGAAACAUUGACUUCUCGCAAGAGACUUGAGUCGAGGUGCUGCAUGGCUGUCGUCAGCUCGUGUCGUGAGAUGUUGGGUUAAGUCCCGCAACGAGCGCAACCCUUGUCCUGUGUUGCCACUCCCGUAAGGGAAGCACUCUCAGGAGACCGCCAGCGAUAAGUUGGAGGAAGGUGGGGAUGAUGUCAAGUCAUCAUGGCCUUUAUGUCCAGGGCUACACACGUGCUACAAUGGGCGGUACAAAGCGCUGCAAACCCGCGAGGGGGAGCCAAUCGCAAAAAACCGUCCUCAGUUCGGAUCGCAGGCUGCAACUCGCCUGCGUGAAGCUGGAAUCGCUAGUAAUGGCAUAUCAGAACGAUGCCGUGAAUACGUUCCCGGGCCUUGUA
rnacentral:rRNA from 1 species